GAUGAAGAACGUAGCGAAAUGCGAUAAGUAAUGUGAAUUGCAGAAUUCAGUGAAUCAUCGAAUCUUUGAACGCACAUUGCGCCCGCCAGUAUUCUGGCGGGCAUGCCUGUCCGAGCGUCAUUUCAACCCUCGGGCCCCCCUCUGCGGGCGGCCCGGCGUUGGGGCUCAGGCGCCGUCUCUGCUCGGCGCCUGUCCCCUAAAUGCAGUGGCGGCCUCGCCGCUGCCUCCUCCGCGUAGUAGCACAAACCUCGCGGCUGGAAGGCGGCGCGGCCACGCCGUAAAACCCCCCAACUUUACCAAGGUUGACCUCGGAUCAGGUAGGAAUACCCGCAGAACUUAAGCAUAUCAAUAAGCGGAGGA
rnacentral:misc_RNA from 1 species